AGAUGGCGACCGGCGCACGGGUGAGUAACACGUAUCCAACCUGCCUCAUACUCGGGGAUAGCCUUUCGAAAGAAAGAUUAAUAUCCGAUAGCAUAUAUUUCCCGCAUGGGUUUUAUAUUAAAGAAAUUCGGUAUGAGAUGGGGAUGCGUUCCAUUAGUUUGUUGGGGGGGUAACGGCCCACCAAGACUACGAUGGAUAGGGGUUCUGAGAGGAAGGUCCCCCACAUUGGAACUGAGACACGGUCCAG
rnacentral:rRNA from 1 species